rnacentral:rRNA from 1 species
UAGGGAAUCUUCCGCAAUGGACGCAAGUCUGACGGAGCAACGCCGCGUGAGUGAAGAAGGAUUUCGGUUCGUAAAACUCUGUUGUUAGAGAAGAACAGCGCAUAGAGUAACUGUUAUGCGUGUGACGGUAUCUAACCAGAAAGCCACGGCUAACUACGUGCCAGCAGCCGCGGUAAUACGUAGGUGGCAAGCGUUGUCCGGAUUUAUUGGGCGUAAAGCGAGCGCAGGCGGUCAAUUAAGUCUGAUGUGAAAGCCCCCGGCUCAACCGGGGAGGGUCAUUGGAAACUGGUUGGCUUGAGUGCGGAAGAGGAGAGUGGAAUUCCAUGUGUAGCGGUGAAAUGCGUAGAUAUAUGGAGGAACACCAGUGGCGAAGGCGACUCUCUGGUCUGUAACUGACGCUGAGGUUCGAAAGCGUGGGUAGCAAACAGG